rnacentral:rRNA from 1 species
GGACUACUGGGGUAUCUAAUCCUGUUUGCUCCCCACGCUUUCGCGCCUCAGCGUCAGUAAUGGCCCAGUGUGUCGCCUUCGCCACUGGUGUUCUUCCGAAUAUCUACGAAUUUCACCUCUACACUCGGAGUUCCACACACCUCUGCCAUACUCAAGGCCGCCAGUAUUAAAGGCAAUUCCAGGGUUGAGCCCUGGGCUUUCACCUCUAACUAAACGACCCGCCUACGCGCCCUUUACGCCCAGUAAUUCCGAGCAACGCUAGCCCCCUUCGUAUUACCGCGGCUGCUGGCAC